GUGGUGUCUGGCCCCCGCGCGCCGCAGCCGGGCGGGCCAGAAAGUUUGCGCAGCGAGAGGGACUCUCCUUCCAUCUCUCCCGCGCUGCCCCCUUCCGCCCCGGAGGGGCGUUAAGUCCCCUCCGGCUUUCCUUUAAAAUUCUAAAAUAAAUAAAUAAGUGAACGCCAGGCCCUGGGGAUGUUUGAAUAGUAGCUCGCCUUCAAUAAUUCAAAUUAUAUGAGAGGGUCCGAGGAGAAAAAGACCAGCCAACCACUUACGCCCUCUGAUCCAGGAGGGCAUGGGAGUGAGAAGGCGACAGAACAGGUCCCCGGCUUGCUCUGGGCGCGGCGUGAAGACCCUGGUCAGAGGUAAUUAUGUCACUGCGUUUUCUCGCCGUGACAGCCCGAAUAAACACAAUCUCCAAUAAACAUCUCUAAUGAGGGAGGAGGCUCGAGGAUGGCUGGGUUUGAUUUAUGACUAGAGGGGAAGGUCCACUUCCCACAGCUAAGUGGGCAACCUGCUCGCCCCUCAACUCCGGAGAAAGGAACCCGAGGAGAGGACCCAGAUUCAGAACUUUGUCGCACGUUCACAGCAAACUACAAGUAGAAUGGGACAUGAAUCAACCCAAAUGCAAUGAAAGGAAAAGAUAAUGGAUUGUGGUGAACAACCAGCAGUAUCCACAACAAUGCCUGACAGCCAGGAGACUGUUGCAGUAAUCCAGCUCCAGGCUUGAAAGACCAAACUGAGGAAAUUUUAGAGUGGUCUGGGAGUUCCAUGUCAGGAGAGGUAUGAUCCUUUGCAUCAAUGCUUCAACCUUUUCUCAGGAGGGCUGGAAUAA